rnacentral:rRNA from 1 species
AAUGGAGAGUUUGAUCCUGGCUCAGGACGAACGCUGGCGGCGUGCUUAACACAUGCAAGUCUAAGGAGAAAGAAUUCUUCGGAAUUUUAUUAAACUGGCGAACGGGUGAGUAACGCGUAGACAACUUGCCCAGAGAUUUGGGAUAACACCGAGAAAUUGGUGCUAAUACCGGAUAACAUCACUUUGACCUCGGUCUUUGUGAUCAAAGGUGGCUUCGGCUACUGUCUCUGGAUGGGUCUGCGUCUGAUUAGCUAGUUGGUGAGGUAAUGGCUCACCAAGGCGACGAUCAGUAGCUGGUCUGAGAGGAUGAUCAGCCACACUGGGACUGAGAUACGGCCCAGACUCCUACGGGAGGCAGCAGUGGGGAAUAUUGCGCAAUGGACGAAAGUCUGACGCAGCAACGCCGCGUGAUCGAUGACGCUU